rnacentral:rRNA from 1 species
UACAGAGGGUGCAAGCGUUGUUCGGAAUCAUUGGGCGUAAAGGGCGUGUGAGGCGGUCUGUUAAGUCAUGUGUGAAAUCCCUCGGCUCAACCGGGGAACGACGCAUGGAAACUGACAAGCUAGAGUACCAAAGAGGGGGGUGGAAUUCCCGGUGUAGCAGGUGGAAAUGCGUAGAUAUCGUAAGGAAGACCAGUGGCGAAG